UUUAUUUUAAUAUUUAUAUAAUUAUCAUAACUAUAUACAUAUAAAUUUUUGCUUUCUUAAUUAGAAAGGAUUUUCUUUCUAUCAACAGUACCACCCAAAACCUUAGCUGACCCUUUGAAUCAAGAAAAGACAUUUGAAAAUUAUAAUUAGGCACCCCUUAGAAACUGCUACAGGUGUUUUACUACCAUGCUUACCCUGCAUUAAAGAAAAUUUCUCAUCGACUUGGGGACAAAGCAGAGGAAGAAGACAUUAGAUGCAGAUAGAAUUAUAAGGGAAGAUGCCAUCAUGAAAGGAGCAAGUAUAAACUAGACAUGUCCACUAAUGGGAUGGGAAGUGGGAGAAGAAUAAUAGGGACCCUGAAUGAGUGGACAAGGAAAGGAAAAUCAUUGUGCCCUUGACUGCUCAUUUUAAAAUCCCCGCAGGACCUAAAGGAAAUGAGUGUGUCUUGGAGAAGUCCGAAUCUGUGAAGAGGAGGAUGGCUUAAUGAACAGGAAAUUAUGGAAUUACUGGGAAAAGUAAUCUGAAUGAGAGCAGGGUCAACAAUUAAGCCAGGAUGGUAGAGGAGAAGGACCUAGAGCUCACCUCCUCUCACUGACACACCAAAAUCACAAUGAACUGCUGAACAACUGUUUAUUAAAAACGACUGGAACCUACCAAGCCUUCUUCAAAAACUGAAGACAUAGAGAAGCAAUCACAUCGAGACAGUAGGAAGGGUACACUCAGGAUAUGGACAGGAGCAGGGUCAAAGAUAAAAACUUAAAAGCUCCUGAGUUCUACGACAAAACGUUAAAAUUCCAUUUAAAACAUUCUAGGGCUUCUUGUCAUGGCUUAGCAAUAAUGAACCUGAUUAGUAUCCAUGAGGAUGAGACUUUGAUCCCUGGCCUCACUCAGUGGGUUAAGGAUCCAGCGUUGCCCUCAACUGUGUGUAGGCCAGCAGCUACAGCUCCGAUUUGACCCCUAGCCUGGGAACUUCUAUAUGCUGUGAGUAUGUCCCUAAAAAGACCAAAAAACAUUCUAUUACAAAAAUAUUUUCUGUAUUAUGGGAGUUCCAUCUUGGCACAGUGGGAACAAAUCUGACUAGAAACAAUGAGGUUGCAGGUUCGAUCCCUGGCCUCGCUCAGGGGGUUAAGGAUCCAGCGUUGCGGCCAGGGAUUGAACCAGCAACCUCAUGGUUACUAGUCGGAUUCGCUUCCGCUGAGCUACAACGGGAACUCCUGAAACAGCAUCUUAAUUGCUUGAAGGAAAUUGCUUGCCCUUUUUCAGCUAACUAAAUUCUUACUACCACCUCAGAGCAGGUGGACUCUCUCAGAAAGUAUACUCUCUCUUGAAUUUAUAUAGACUGAAGGAUCCCAUAUUUUUAUACCAAUUUUCAUAUUUUUCUCUUGUUACUCUGCAUUUUAUCUUCAUGCUCUGAGGGCAUUCUGACCUCUUAAUUCCUGGAGGGCGACAAUUAACCAG
ensembl:lncRNA